rfam:Triticum aestivum genome assembly, contig: Triticum_aestivum_CS42_TGACv1_scaffold_112118_2AS
CAAGUAUCUCCGUCCGAAAAUACUUGUCAUCAAAAUGAAUAAAAAGAAUGUAUCUAGAACUAAAAUACGUCUAGAUACAUCUCCUUUUAUCCAUUUUGAUGACAAGUAUUUCCGGACAGAGGGAGUACAUA